AAAUCUCGCCUGUUUACCAAAAACAUCACCUCUAGCAUAACAAGUAUUAGGGGCACUGCCUGCCCAGUGACACCAAAGUUCAACGGCCGCGGUAUCCUGACCGUGCGAAGGUAGCAUAAUCACUUGUAUGAAUGGCCAAACGAAGAUUU
rnacentral:ncRNA from 1 species